GGAGAUAUAGUUCAGUGGUAGAAGACAUACCCUAGCAAGCAUGAAGCCCUGAGUUUGAUCCCCAGUAACACACA
rnacentral:tRNA from 1 species